GUUGGAGGAGUAGAUGAGGUGCUACAUGCAGGGCCCUGAGAACUGUCCUGUCGCUCAGGAAGCAAGUUUUGCAGGGUGUGGACAAUCGGGCAAGUGACUGCAUGUGACAACAGAGAGAGGGCAUGGUACACGGUGGCAGAUGAGCCCGGGACUGGAGGCAGAUCUGGGUUCCAGUUCGGGCUCUACCAGCAGCACCCAUGUGUCCUUCUGUUCUCUGGGCCUCAAUUUCCUGUUGUAAAAUUCAGAACUUGGAAGAGGUAAGUGGUUAGGUCAUUCCUGAGACAUCCCAGAUAAUCACAGCCAUCCAAACGUUGGCUCGGGAGCCCUGAGUAACCAAGACUGCAGGAAGCAACAGUUUAGUAAGGGUUCAGAAUCCUGUGAUUAGGGCUCGAGAAUGAAAUACUCUUCUAAGAGCUUCUCCCAGACCAAAAGGAGCUAAUUAGGAAAGAAUGGUGGCAUUCUCUGGGCAAACUGGAGGAGCCCCUGGGCUUGGCCUCCUUAUGCCUUCCUCCUUGACCCUCCUCUAGCCCCCUUGGACACAACACAACGUCCCCCCUCUGCUUUUUCCCCAGAUACUAUGGUAAACCUGCUCUCAGAUCUUUCUCCACACCUAGAAAAAUUCAUUCAUCGACUAUACACUUUAAUGAAUAUGCACUUACUAUGUACCAGAUAUUCUUUGGCUGCUAGGGCAGAGCAGCAGGGACAUAGCCCCUGUCCCCGUGGGGUCAACAUGCUGGUGGAGGGAGUCAGAGGUAAUAAAAUAAGCAAGUAAGACACACAGUAGAGCAGGCAGAGUUGGCGGAGAACUGGAUCUAACUGGGUUGGGGUUUUGCCAAGCAAGUACAGUCCAACUUGGAGUGUGGAGGGAAGGGUAUAGAAAAGGUAGGGACUAGAAUAACUAACCCUGGAAUUUAGGCUGGGAAAGGAGGGAGUAGGGAUUUGAAAGCGGGUGAGGUCAGUAGUCUGUGGGGCCCUGAGGGGCGAUGGCUCCAAGGCACGAGCCGGAAAGAGGUUUGACAGUGGCUUCUCUGGAGGGCUCAAGCUUGACCAGGAAACUGAGUGCCGAGCCCUGGAAGAUCACUGGGGAGAGGAGGUCAAAGAACUGGGAGGCCAGGGCACCAUCGGCGGGCUGGUAAGUGGAUGGUGAAACCACCAGGCAGGGGGCAGGAGGAGCUGGAGAGAGGACGCGAGAUGGGAGCUAAAAUCCUAAAAUCCGCAGGGAGUGCGGAAAGCAGUGACAGCAGUGAGCGCGGGGAGGCUGGUCCUGAGUCUGGGAUGGGGCGAUGGCGUUCAAGAAGACAUAUUUAAGAGUACUAUGUAAUUUUACGUGUGGGAAGAACCUUUUGUUUUUGUAAUUAGAACUACAGAAAGGGACAGAGCUGUUUAUGUCAUGAAAAGCAGGCCUGAGCAUUAGAAGACUGAGAAACACCUGGGAGGAUCUUGUUUCAACAGAGCUCAAAGCCGUGGCAAAAGGACGGAGCUCGAAUUGUGCAAUUGUGAGUGACUCGAAGCUGGGUGGGAAAGCGUCUAGUUUCUUAUGCAUAAAGGACCUUCCUGUUGUCUCUGAAAUCAUACCAAGUAGAUGCCACCAUUUCAGCAGAGGCUUGAAUUAUACUGAUAAUGACAAGUUAUCAGUAUCAUAUAACUAAUGUAAUUGAUUGAUAGGAGGAGUUAAGGACACGGGAUCUGGCCGGGCACCAUGGCUCACACCUGUAAUUCCAGCACUUUGGGAGGCCAAGGUGGGCGGAUCACUUGAGUUCAAGAGUUCAAGAUCGGCCUGGGCAACAUGGCCAGGCAACAUGUAAAAAUACAAAAUUUAGCUGGGUGUGGUGGUGGGCGCACCUGUAAUCCCAACUACUUGGGAGGCUGAGAUGGGAGAAUCAUUUGAACCUGGGAGGUGGAGGGUGCAGUGAACUGUGAUUGUACCACUGCACUCCAGCCUGGGUGACAGAGUAAGACCUCGUCAAAAAAAAAAAUCCAAAAAUGUGGGAUCUGUUUAAACCCUGGCUCUGCUCCCUGCUACUCAUUACCCUCAUCUGUGCAGCAGGGGUGAUACCAGCCCUCACCCCUCUGUUUCUGAGAAGUAGAUGAGCGUGUAUGUGCACAGAGACCUGCCUGCAGUGUUGUGAGGACUCACAAAAUGUUGGCUAGAUAUCCUAAUCUUUCUCAUGUUUGUUGGCAAACAAAAACAGGCUGAGAUGGCCCUGUGCCAUUCGUAUAUCUGUGUGUGGAAUAACAGACAGUAUAAAGCUGAAAAGCAGGUCCCUCCCUGGCUAAUUGCAUUUCAGCAGCCGCUGGGAGGCAGUGUGGCGGGGGGCGGGGAGUGAAACUGUGCGGGGAGUCAGGGAGCCUGGGUUUCCUCCUCAGCCAAUGAGGCCAAGGCCAAAUCAGGAUGUCCCUGAGCCCCUGUUUGCCUACCUGUAACGUGGGGAUGACGGUUCCUGCCAGGUACCCACAAGGCUGUUGUGAGGACUGAAUGAGGAAAUGCUCCUUGAAGAUAAAUGACAAUGCCACAGAAGAGCGGAUGCAGCUCCCCUGUGCUGAGUACUCACCUACUGUGUGCUGGGCACAGGGGCAGAGCCACCCACCCCUCCCUGCAGCAGUGCCUGGAAGGCAGGACCAGCAUCCUGAUAGCCAGAGUUGAGACAGAGUUUAAGGGCCUGCCAGGCAUAACUCCCUCGCCAGGCAUAGAAAUAAAGGAACAUCUUGAGUUCUUUCAAGGGAAGUUCCAGGCACCUAGCUAGCCCUGAGAGUAAAUGAACAACAUGAUAAGCAAGAAGGAAAUAAUAGCUUUUCAAAAAAAAUAGCCAAGGAAGUUAGAGUCACAAAAUACUUGGUUCCCUAUUGAAACUUAAGAUAACAUCUUAAUAUAUGUUCCUGAGUUGUUUUUCAGAAACCCAGGCCCCCAGCAAAUGGAAAAUGCCAUCCACUGGCACAGAGACUUCAGUUGGGAGCCGAGGACUGAACUCAGACCACCAUUCUUUGUUCAACAUUUCUUCCUGAGGGGCCUGGAGGAAGUCACACCCACAGGCCAGAGCUCAACAUUCCUUUCUGCUGACCCCAGGUUUUUAGACAAAGCUUUGCCUCCUUAACCAAUCACAAAUCAGAGGAUCUUUGAAUCCACCUAUGACCUGCGGGCCCCGCUUCGAGAUGUCCCACCCUUUUAGGUCAAACCAAUGCACAGUUUCCAUGUAUUGAUUUAUGACUUUGCCUGUAACCUCUGCCUCCCUGCCUUUAAAAACCCUUACCUGUGAGCCACCCUGGAGUUCGGGGCUUAAGCAUGAGCUGCCCGAUUCUCCUUGCUUGGCACCCUGCAGUAAAUGCCUCACUUUCUCUUGCUGCAAAUCCCAAUGUCAGUGCUUGGCUUUGCUGCACCUGGUGGGCAGACCCAAGUUUGGCAACAGAGUCUGUGGGAGAAAGUGCUGUCAGAGGAACAUGCUGGAGCAGCCAGAUUAUAGAAGAAAGAAGUAUCGUUAUGGUUAAGUCUGUGAGCAGAUUUGAGGAGAAGCUAACGAAUGGCACCAAGUGUGUUCAGCAUCUCCCCUUCUAGGGUGUCAUCUGACAGAUGUGUUAUCUGACAGAUGUGCUGCUCAUGCCUUCUGCACCUGAGGUCAGGGAUGCUCACACAGAAUGGGUUGUAACUGCAUAAGGUCGGGAGCCCCCUCUACAUCCACCAAAUAGAGGAUGAGUUGAGUAUGCAGAUAAUAAAGCAGAAUAAGGAAAGGCUUUUUAUGAACUGACAGGGAAAGACUAUCAAGAAAUACUAAGUUAAAAAAAAAAACAAAACCCUCAGUGCCAAACAGUACAUAUAGGAUGCCACCAUUUUUUUUGUCUAAAAAAUGGGGAAGAAUAUCUAUGGAAUAUACUCAUUUAUAUAUGAAUUGAAUAUUCUAAAGCUAGUUGCAAGAAACUAGUACCCUUACUUUUCUCUAGGAAGGAAAACUGGGAAAUAGUAGGAAGAGGAUUAUCACUGUAUAUCCUUUUGUACCCUUUGAUUUUGAGACCAUGUAAAUGCAAUUAUCUAAGAGAGAGAGAGAGGAAGGAGGAGGAGGAGAAAAAGGAGGUGGAAGAGGAAGGGAGAGAAAGAAACGCUGUGCAUGGGCUCUAGAAUCAGACGGACUUGUGAAUUCCAGCUCCACUGCUUCCCAGCUGUGUGACCUUGCCCAAGCUACUCAACCUCUCUGGGGCUCAAUCUGUGCAGGAAAGGGGCAUGACAAUUACAUAAUGCCUCCAACCCACCUGGACUGUUGGGAGAUUGAGACUAAUGAGUUUAAAGCUCUUAGCUAGAAAUGGUUGCUGUAGAUGUUUAGCCAGCCCUGGCUUCACACUCUCCAGACCAGCUUCCAAACUUCCUGGAGGGCACAUGCAAUUCAUCUUUUCCUUUCCCAUGCAAUUCCCCAGGCACCAGUCCAUGGCACUCCCUAUGCCUGCAGGAUACCACAUCAAAGCAGAGUUGGGGGAGCAUUUCAGGAGGUUCCUGUGAAAAACCUACAUGCACACACCCCCACGUGCAGCUGCAGACUGCUAUCUAUACACGAAGUUAUGCAUCGCAGAGUCGACUGCAAAAGGCUGGAGCCCACACAGCGUCUAUCAAUAGGGAACGGGUUAAAUCGACCACAAGAUUUCCAUAUGACGAUGGAACACUUUCCAGCCAAGAAAGGAGGAGGAAGUCCUCACUGCUCUGAUACGGAACAGUCACCAAGACAUAUUUUAAGUAAAAAAAAGGCAGCAUGCAUAACCAGGGAAAUGAAAACUAAAACCACAGUGAGUUACAAUUUCACACAGAUCCAUCUACAAAAAAAAAAAAGCUGAUAAUUGCAGGUGUUGGUGAAGAAGUGGAGUGAGGGGAAUGCUCAAACUACUAGUGGGUGUGCGAAUGGUUAUAACCACUUUUUAAAAUUUUGGCAUUAUCUACUGAAGUUGACAAUGUACUUUCCCAAUGGCCUUGCAAAUGCCCUGGAGAAGUUCUUACCCAACCCCCGCCAUUCCCCCCAACACACACCAAAAGAAACAAUUAAGAACAUUUGCACCAGCUCUGUUCCUAGAACCCCAAAACUGAGGCCAGCACUGAGGCCAAGCACAGUGGCUCAUGCCUGUAAUCCCAGCAGGCAUGAGCCACCCUUUGGGAGCCUGAGGCCGGAGGAUUAUUGAGGUUGAGAGUUCAAGACCAGCCUGGGCAACAUAGUGAGACCUUGUCUCUAUAAAAGAAGUUUUAAAAAUUAGCCAGGUGUGAUGGCUCAUGCUUGUAGUCCCAGCUAAUUGGGAGGCUGAGGUAGGAGGAUCGUUUCUUGAGCCCUGGAGGUUGAGGCUGCAGUGAGCCAUGAUUGCACCACUGCACUCCAGCCUGGGCAACAGAAUGAGACCCUGUCUCAAAAAAUAAAAUUAAAUUAGAAAACAAUAAUAAUUAUUAUUAAUAAAUAAAAUAGUCCAAUGAAAAUAAUCAUACUAUCUCCAUGCAAUGGAAUUCUAUACAAGAGUGAAAAUGAACUAACUCCGGACAUGCGUAUCAGUACACUGAACUUCAGAACUAUAAUUAUGGGUGGGACAAAAGCCAGCCAUAGAAAACUAUUCUAUUCAUAAUCCCAAAAAGGUAGUAUACCAUAUUCAAUUAUUAUAUAUAUUUAUGUCUUGUUAUAUAUAAUGUUUAUUACAUUUAUCUUAGUAUAAAAAUAUAGUAUAUUUAUCAUAAUCUAUUAUAAACAAGUAGUAGGAUUAUAAAAAGACAAAAAGGGCAGGAUAAGCGUAAAAUUCAUGAUAGUAUUUAGGGGAAGAGGAGGGUGGGGCUGGAGAGAGGCACAUGGUUUCAAAAGCCCAGCUUCUUUGUCUAAAACAGGGCGUGGGUACCCAUACUGGUCUAUUGUAUUGUGGGUGUCUUUAAAAUGUAUAUAUAUUCUAUAACUACUAUUUUUGUAUCUACUCAAUAUUUAAUUUUAAAAUUUUAAAUGAGGCCUAGAACACUAUAAAAAGUAUGCUACCAUUUGUAUAGAAAAAGUGGACACACACAUCACUCAUGUGCAUAGAUUAAAGUGUCUCUGGAAACUUACACAUGCAACUGGUGAAACUGGUUUCCUCUGGGGAGGAGAACUGGGAGGCUGGGGACAAGGAGGGGCAAUAAAUCAAUUGAAAUUAAAAAUCACAAAAUUUAAGGAGAAGGAGACAAAGAAGGGAAGGAGGAAGAGAAGGGAGGGUGGAGGGGAGAGGCCAAGUCCUGGUCCCAGGAGGGACAGGGAGCAGAAAGAGGAGGACUGGCCAGGCUCUGGCUAUCAAAACCUGUGUGUGCCACAGGCACGAGUGGAGCCAGAAGCCUGCAGUCCUGCCCAGGAAAGCCUGUGUCCUCCGCGCACAACUCAGGCUUAGACCCAGAGAAUGCUCUUUCUUGCACCUGAGGACGGGGCUGGCUUCAAACAGUUGCCCAGGUUGACCCUGGCUCUGCAGUCUUUUGUUUCCAGAGCUUUGCUUCCAAACGAGGCUCCCUUGGGUCUCUUUCCCUGGCCCUGCCUUCUUAUCUCCAACCUUCACCCCACCUGUGAUCCAAGCGAUUCCUUUGAAGUUGCUUCAGAGUCUUCUGAGCCUUCAUCCUUGAUGACUCUGAAAUGUGCGUCUGUGGCACCAAGGUCAGCCAACAGCAAGUAGGCCCUUUUCAUCUCCUUUUAAACCUUCCCCUCAAGGACUCAGUGUCCUUGCUGUAUUGCCUUAUCAAAACCUGCUCACAUAUCCUUUGUUCACACUGGGAUACCGGUCAUUUAAAGGAAAACAGGCCCACUCUAACCAGGGUCACUGCCAAGUCCCUAAGUAUCAUGCCCUUGAGAGGUAAAAGCAUAAAGCACUAAGGGUAGAAUUUUGGGCAACAGCCAGUGGACAAGGACAAAAUGGGUGCAAUAUGCAGGGGUCCCUUCUGCCCCACCGGUAACCAUAACACCUCAGGACACAGGCUGGGGUCUGUAUUCAAAAGUGGGUCCCUCAGACCGGGCACAGUGGCUCACGCCUAUAAUCCCAGCACUUUGGGAAGCCAAGGCCAGCGGAUCCCUUGAGCCCAGGAGUUUGUGACCAGCCUGAGCAACAUGGCGAAACCCCAUCUCUACAAAAAAUACCAAAAUUAGUCUAGUCGGGCAUGGUGGUGCACACACCUAUGGUCCCAGCUAUUUGGGAGGCUGAGGGGGGAGAAUCGCUUGAGCCCCAGGAGGCAGAGAUUGCAGUGAGCUGUGAUCGAGCCACUGCACUCCAGCCUGGGCAACAGAGUGAGACCCUAUCUCAAGAAAACAAAAACAGAAAGUAAAAAAGCAAUCCUCGAGCAAAAGUGGGUCCCUCAGAGCCCAAUGACAGUGAUGAGGAGGAUGAGGUGGGAAAGGUAGUGUUACUCUGAACUAAAAAGGACUGCCCAGUGUGACCCUAUCUCCCAAACAGCCCAUGCAGGGAUCUGGGUGGCACCAUAGUACAGAAGUGGGUGCCAAGAGAGGCCUGGGCUGCACAGCCAGGUGCAUACAUGCCCUGGAGUCCAGGACAGGAUCAGCAGCAAAUCCACUCCAGGGAGCUCUCCCCCCUCACCAUCCUCUCAAUCAGGGUUCCCCAGUUGAAAAGCACCUUGGCAGUUCAUAAUUCUCCCUCUAAAGCCAGAAAGUGCUGUAAAGGAUAACAGAAGCCUGGCUGCACAGUGGAGCUUAAUGGAAGUCAUUCAACAAGCAGGUCUGGAGCAAACAUCAUGGACCAGCAGUACUGUGUGUUGGCACAGAUGUGAAGCAACUAUACUCUGAUACGGCUUGGAUAUGUGUCCCCACCCAAAUCUCAUAUUGAAUUUUAAUUCCCAGUGUUAGAGGAGGGGCCGGGUGGGAGGUGACUGGAUCAUGGGGGCAGAUUUCCCCCUUACUGUUCUCACGAUAGUGAGUUCUCAGAUCUGGUUAUUUUAAAGUGUGUAGCACCUCCCACUUUGCUCCCUUCCUCCUGCUUUGGCCAUGUAAGAUGUGCCUGCUUCGCCUUCCCCUUCCGCCAUGAUUCUAUGUUUCCUGAGGCCUCCCCAGCCAUGCUUCCUAUACAGUCUGCAGAACCGUGAG
rnacentral:lncRNA from 1 species